rnacentral:rRNA from 1 species
AUUGAACGCUGGCGGCAGGCCUAACACAUGCAAGUCGAACGAGUGGCGGACGGGUGAGUGAUGUCUGUGAAACAGCCUGAUGUAGGGGGAUAACACCUGGAAACGGUAGCUAAUACCGCAUACCCUCAGGUGUGCCCAGAUGGGAUAAGCGAGUAGGUGGGGUAACGGCUCACCUAGGCGACGAUCCCUAUCGGGUCUGAGAGGAUGACCAGCCACACUGGAACGGAGACACGGUCCAGACCCCUACGGGAGGCAGCAGUGGGGAAUAUUGCACAAUGGGCGCAAGCCUGAGGCAGCCAUGCCGCGUGUAUGAAGAAGGCCUUCGGGUUGUAAAGUACUUUCAGCGGGGAGGCGUUACUCGCAGAAGAAGCACCGGCUAACUCCGUGCCAGCAGCCGCGGUAAUUC